GCAUUAGUGGUGUAAUGGUUAACAUGUGGUCUUCCCAUCAUCUGUUGGUAUACUUAUGGCCGCGUUCGGGGUUCAAUUCCCCGCUAAUGCA